UCUCUGUGUAGCCCUGACUGUCCUGGAACUCAGGUUAAAGGCAUGUGCCACCACCACCCUGGCAAAAAUAAUAAAUCUUUCAAAACAAAAUUUUCAAAAACAUAGAAAUUAUUCAUCAUUUUAAGGACUGGAGAAUCAACAGUGGUCUUUAUUUUUCCUCUUUUCCUCUUAUAAGCUUUGUGCUCUGUAGCUCAAAAAUAGAUUUUUCUUCCUUCUCCCUCCUGUCCUCCCUCCCUCCCUCCCUCCCUCCCUCCCUCCCUCCCUCUCCCCCUUCCCUAAUGCUGGGCCCUACACCAGUCCCUGUGCUUGAUGCUGGGGCUACAGAAAUGAAUUUACUCACCCUCCUUCCUGGAGACAACGGCACCCCUCACAAGCUGUGACUGAGGGAAGGGAGGUCCUGGCCUCCCUUCAUGUCUGCGCCUUGUGUCUCGCAUGCCACCAAUGUGACUGGAGUUCCCUUUUCUUCCCUUUGCUGUGCUGUGACCUUUGUAUGUGCUGUGACCUUUGUAUGCCAAUCUGUCCGUCCGAAUGUCCAGAGGAAUCAACUGCCCCAUUCAGAGGCAGCAAUGGCCCAGCGAGGCCGAGAGACUUGUAUGGACCUCUAACAGGGGCAUGGGCCUGAGAUUGUUUUAACUUAAUUUUUUAGGGUACUGGAAACUUAGGGUUUAAUAUGGGGAAAAUGUAAACAGUGGAAUAGGGGUAAAGGUACUCAGGAAAGAUGGCUUCUGCCCAAGCAGCAAGGCCUCCCUUCCCAACAAUCAAAGUCCACUUGUGGGAACCUUGGAGCACUGUACAGUGUGGCAUAAGUUCGUCACAACAUAAUUCAUUUUUUCUCCCAUCCUUUCUGUUUUUUGACAGUCUCAUGGAGCACAGGCGGGAUAGGCUGGCCUUGAACUCCUGACCUUCCUACCUAAACCUCCCAAGGCCUAAAUUUUAUAAAAGAAAAUCCAUUGUCAGAAUUUAAAUGGGUCUCUGAGGGAAUAAACAAACAAAAAAACCCAUUGUAUUUCUUUGUUCUAGUGUGGGUACCUCUGCAUGCGACAGACAUGUGUGUUCCGUGCUGUGCGUGCAGAGGUCAGGGGACAAUGUUCAGGUGCGCGUUGGCACUCCUCUUCCACUAUGUGCAUUCCAGGAGCAAACUACGUCAUCAUGUUGUCUAGUAAAAAACACUUUGACCUGCUGAGUGGUCUCUCCAGCCCUCUGUUAUGUUCUUAAUACCCAGAACAGAAAACGAUACCCAACCAAGCUUGCUGCCUGGGGAGGGGUGCAAAAGGCAGGAUGAGAGAGAGAGAGAGAGCCCCAUGGGCCUCUCAUUGUGUGAAUGAAGUCUCCUAAUUACUUGUGAAGGCCAUCUCCUGUGUCAGGAGUACCUGACACAUCCCAUCCUCUAAUGUUACUUAGCAGAAGGCUACAGCAGGGCCUCCCCUCAAGACACACACUCACCAUUUAUUAAUACUUGAAGUCAGUCAGUGUCCCAGCAACCAUAUGAGGGGGACAUGCAUGUCACCCCCACUUUGUAGAUGAAGAAGCGGAGGCACAAAGAAUAAGUAAGGCACCUAAGCCAAAUGAUUGGUGAGUAGCAUAAACGGGUCUCUUUGAUUCCAGAGUCUGUCCUGUUGCCACUGUGGAAUACCAUCCCCUAGAGACUGGUCUGCCUCUCUGGGUUUCAGCAUACCUUAUCAGUAAAAUAGAUUUCACAGGACAUCAAAGGGCUGAUUUAAGGAUUUAAAGAGACAGUGCUUAUGAGUAUCAUGCCUAAUGACUGCCAUUAAUGUGAUCUGAGAUUAUUACCAGCAAUGCUGCCCUUCCUUCCCAGGCUUCAGGGAAGGAGUCACGUAGGGGCAGAGCCCUGAAAAGACUAUGUUUUGCUGCCAGGAGGUGGGGAUGGUGUAGAGUGAGGAAAGAUCAUUGUUUUAAUAAACUCACUCUCCAUCUCAACCCCCCUCUCCCCUCUUCUCCCCAAAGCUGGUCCUCUAUUGGCAUGCUAGGCUCCCUCUGGGCAGGGGAGUCUGUUCUGGUCCCAUUUCCAUUACACACUCCGUUGAGCAUAGGAGAAGGGGAGCCAGGAGCCAGCCGGCAGUAAUUAAUUGCCUAUUUGGACUCCUGCUGUGGCCUAGGAAGGAGGAUGCUGGACAGCUCCCUCCUGGCCUGGGCCUUUGAAUCUGGGAGCACUGGUCUUUGCUCAUCUGGACACAACCAUCCACUCUGAAUCCAUGCCCAGGCUGGGAGGGACCUGGGUGGCACUGAGGCCACAUCUGUUCACUUGGGGCAAAGUCAACAAUGCUUUCCCUAGUAUUGCUUCGGUUACCUUCUCAGAGAACGCCACCCACCAUGGGGCUUUCUAGAAGGCCAGGAGGGCAGUCUGAGGAAAGGGGCAUCCUGAAAGCAAAGUUUUGAAUCCAUGGGCCUCAGUCCUGUUUUUCCUACACAUUGGCUAUGUGACUUUGGACAGGGCACAGUCAUCUCUGACUAGUCACCCUCCUCUGGGAAAUGGGGACAGAAAUGACAACAGCCCACCUUAUCAUAGGUUUCACUUUUGGGGUUUAGUUGCUGCAGACAACUGAACUCUGAAAAUGUUAUUUAUUCUGAUUCUAUCAAGAGAAGAGGCCACAUCCCCUUAACAUUUUCUGUAAUAUAUAUUAGCUGUUGUAAUAUUGUAAUAAUACUGUCAAUAGCUAUUGAAAUCAAUCUCUUCGUGUUUCAUUUAUAAAGUAAACUAUCCCAUAUUGGGCACACACACUGAAAGACAUUGUGCUUGGUAAUGUGGCACAGUACUGUCUGGUGUUUUAAGCAGCCGCUGGGGACAUCUCCCUCACAAAUAAGGCUGUUGACUCUCACACUCUCGUGUUUCGUCACUCCAGAGUUCAUUCUCUCAGAGCAUCAUCUGCUCUGUCUCACACUCAUCCUCCUCCAACCAUGAGCUCUAGGUGAGGUCUUCCCUUUAGACUUCAGGGACAGAUGUAGCCUGGCUUAGACCCCAGUGGGGAGUUUUCUACCAAAACCAGGGUGAGAGAAGUGUGUGUGUGUGUGUGUGUGUGUGUGUGUGUGUGUGUGUGUGUCGGGGAAAUUGCUGUUACUUUCAAGUUACAAAGAUCUAACAGAGUUUUGUUUCAAUUACCCACAUCAAGCGCCUCAUAACAGCUCGUAAUUCCACCAAAUGGCCAGAGACUUUCCUGAGGACCUCAAGGCCCUGUACAGACUCCCACCUCCUCUGAUGUCUUCUGCCUUUUUCAUUUUACCCAGCUUCCUUAUACUUGCUUCUCAUGUUUUGUUUUUGUUUUUGUUUUGCUCCAGGAAUUAGUGCUAGCUGUGCCCCACAUCUACAGUAUUCUCUCUCCCAGUAUCCACCAGCUUGCCUCUCACUCCCUUUAGCCUUUACUCAAAUGCCACUGCUUAGCACUUCUAGGUGGUCAUAUGAAUGGCCCAGGCCAGCUCUCAGGACCAGAGGAAGUCUCAGGCUGAGAAGAAAUGUGAACUGGGCACCUGAGAUGGACAUCGGCCAAUGGGCUCUGGAACUGUCCACCAAGGCUUGAGAUAAGCUAGGAGGUGGGACUAUGUGAGGAGGCCUCAACCACGUGCCUGAGGACAUCACUGAACCAACCACUCUCCAGCCUCACCUUCCGGAUGGCUUCUGAAUCCUUGUCACUGUGUUGCUUGAGACAGCCACGUGUUCACUGGAGACAUUCAAAAUUAGGUCUGUUUGAGGCUCUCUGACUCCAUCUUGAAUGAAUGGGCCCCAGGGCAAUGGAGAGGGCAGGCUAGAAUGGCAUUUUCUUUCCACCAAUCUCUGCAUCUGAUACUUCCUGAGUGUCACCUCUGCCCCCGGACGGACCGUCCUAGGCUUGCCCCUUCACCUAGCAGCUGAAGAGAGAGGUGUUUUUUCAACCCACCAACGCCUAUGCACAUCUGGCCUGAUGCUCCUCAGAGGGUCCCUGGCACAUUGGGAAGGAAAACAGAGUCUCAGGUCCUUCUAUUCACUAGAGCAGUGACAAUAAGGACUCCCAGCCAAGCACAGUGCUCCCUGAUUUCAGUGUGCACAGUACCCAGCUCACAGCAUCACAUGAUCGUAUUGUCAGAAGGGAGCCUUUGUGCAGGACCAGACUAUGCAACUCAGCCAUGCAAAUUCGGUGGUAAUUUCACAGUGGUAAUUUCAAUGGUAAUUGCAAGCACAGACACACAAAGGUGUCUCACAGUGAACCACCAAAUCAUACCCAAUAAAGCACUGUUUCACAUCACACACAGACUCACAGUUUAUCACAACAUGGAAAUAAAUUCUGUUUGAAAAGUA